GCAGUCGGUUCUCUUAACCUCUGAGCCAUCUCUCCAAGCCCUCAAGGCCACUUUUUAUUGUGAAAGGUAGUACAUCCUCCAAACUGAACCUAAAACACUUAAUUUCCAUUUCCUGGGAUUUCUCUCCCUUGAUGAAAAGGUAACUAGCUGCCUUUCUCUCAAUAUCACCCAUUGCUUUGGGCCUACAGUGAGGCAGAUGAUCAUAGCAGAGAGGGUAUGUAAAAUCUGUUUUCCUCAUGGUGGCUGAGAAAAGAUGGGAAGGGGCCAGGGGCAGGUGUAACAUCAGGUUGACACCAAUUAGUCAGAAUUCAAAAAAAAAUGACAUAGUGAGUGUGACAGUUAUCACUGUCAAUUAGACACAGCCUAGCCAGGCGUGGUGGCGCACACCUUUAAUCCCAGCACUCGGGAGGCAGAGGCAGGCAGAUUUCUGAGUUCGAGGCCAACCUGGUCUACAAAGUGAGUGCCAGGACAGCCAGGGCUACAAAGAGAAACCCUGUCUCGAAAACAAAAACAAAACAAAACAAAAAAUUAGACACAGCCUGGGAAGCAUCCCAAUGAGAGUUUGUCCAGAUCAGGUUGGCCUGUGGUCAGGGUUGUGGGGGAUAAUUUUGAUUAUGACAAUCAAUGUAGGAAGAACAGUGCCCACUAAGGGCAGCUCCGCUCCCUGGUUUUGCAAUCCCGGACUACUUAAAAACGAAGAAAAGUAAGACAAGCACAAAGUAGCAUCUUGCACGUGCUCUUGCUGCUUGGACUUUAGAUACAAGUAGUUGCUUUCAGUUCCUGAUUUAACAUUCCUAUAAUAAUGGACCAUGUCCUGGAAUUAUAAGCUAAAUAAACUCUAUCUCCCCCUUUUAAAAAAAUCUGCUGAGUUUAUAGUCAGCAUUAUUUCAAGCACAGUGUGUGGUUCAGGAUAAUUUUGAGUUGGAUUGAUUUCCUAUAUUUUGCUUCUCCAAGGUCUCCCUUGUCAGGCUGCAACAUGUUGGGGCACAGUUGGGAUCUGACUCCUCAGGUCACCAGGGUAUUAAGUCCUGGAUAAGAAUCAGAAACCAGAGCUAAAGAUACGGCUCAGUAGAAGAGUGCUUGCUAGCAUACAGUAAGGCCCAGGUUCAUUCCCCAGCACAGAACCUCACCAUUGAACAUACCAGUAAGUAAAACAAAAUGAGAUAAUUCAGAAGUGGUAGGUAGUUCAUGCCUGUAUUUUGGAACUUGGGAGGCUGAGAAAGGAGAAUCACUACAAGUUUGAGGUCAGCUUGGACUCCAGAAUGACACCCUGUCUCAGAAAAACAAAAGAAGGGGUCUAGAGAGGUGACUCAGCACUUAAGAGCACUGUCUGUUCUUCCAGAGGACCUGGGUUCUAUUCCUAUCAUUUGCGCGGGAGUUCACACAGGAACUUCAGUUCCAGAAAUCCAGUGCGUUCUUCUGGCCUCUGGGCACCCAGCAUACAAGUGCUACACAGACAUACAUGUAGGUAAAACACCUAUAUACAUAAUUUUUUUAAAAAUGAGUUU
rnacentral:lncRNA from 1 species